rnacentral:tRNA from 1 species
GGGGCCGUAGCACAGUUGGGAGAGCGCUUGACUGGCAGUCAAGAGGUCACGGGUUCGAAUCCCGUCGGCUCCA